CCUUCUCAGAGGCAGCAAGAGAGUGGAAAAAUAAGAUAUUUUUGUCUCGUUGCACAAAGUUUACCUUAUUGAAGAUUUGAGGUCAAAAGCUAGCGAGUCCCUGCAGAGAUGCCAUCAGAUCUCUGCGACAUCACAGCCUGAGAGUUCCAAGCCCUGUGUCCUCAGGUGAGGCCACGGUGGACAUCAGCGCCUACGGAUGUAAAGUCCCAGAGGUUCGGCCAUCUCCUGGUCAGAUCUGCGGGAAGCUCUGUGGUUUGACCUCAUAACCUGGCUCACUAGAAGCUCCCGCGGAGUUGAUAAAUCCGAUUUUGAAUGUGUGAUCUGAGUCCCAGCCGAGCCACCAAGCAGUAGAUCUGGCCGCCCUAGCCUGCUGCUUUCUGAUCUCUAUAAUGGGUCUAUGGCACUGCUGCCAUGUUACAGAGAGAGACACGAAUUGUGAAAGAAAGCACUGUGUGAACUCUGAGUGUUGAGCAUUGUCUGUU